rnacentral:lncRNA from 1 species
AUGUCAUUUUGUUGCUUCAUGGUGUUUUUCUUUUCCCUGAGUUUAAUCCCAAACCUCCAGACACAGUGCGAUCAGCAUCACAGGUUACAUGCUGCAACAAUGUACAAAUGGCUGGCUGAGCAGGGAAGAUUCUAUGCAUCUGUUUUCCAGGAAACAGGUUCUCACGGGAUUUGUGUGCAGGAAGCUGCUAGGAAUAUCACCAUCAGCUCCAUUCAGAGUGAGAAAAGCAGAAGCAGGCAAAGAGACAACCUGAGGUUGGCUGCAACUGCAUUGAAGGCAUCAGCUACCCUGUGCUGUGCUGCCCACCCAAAGGGAUAUCCAGAACACCUAUCUGAAGCCUUUCCAGUCCUGGACACACCUGGUCAGUACAACCGUCCUUCAUGAUCUUCUGUGUGGGAGUGUUUUCAGUGCCUUCUCUGAAACACUAAAAUCUAUGAGGACAAUAUGUACCCAUCCCCAUUCUGCCUAAUGGUUGGCUUAUAAGGAUUUACAAGACUCUCAGUAAAUAAAAGGUAAGUGGAAGUAGGAGAGAAAUCUUUG